rnacentral:misc_RNA from 1 species
GAUGAAGAACGGCAGCGAAAUGCGAUACUUGGUGUGAAUUGCAGAAUCCCGUGAACCAUCGAGUCUUUGAACGCAAGUUGCGCCCGAAGCCAUUAGGCCGAGGGCACGCCUGCCUGGGCGUCACACGUCGUUGCCCCCCCAUCUACUCCUUCGGGAUUGCGGGGGGCGGAUGAUGGCCUCCCGUGCGCCUCGCCGCGCGGUUGGCAUAAAUGCCAAGUCCUCGGCGACGCACGCCACGACAAUCGGUGGUUGCGAAACCUCGGUUGCCCGUCGUGUGCGGUCGUCGCGCAUCGAGGGCUCGAAAAAAUUGCCGGGUUCCGGCUCGGCUUUCAACGCGACCCCAGGUCAGGCGGGGUUACCCGCUGAAUUUAAGCAUAUCAAUAAGCGGAGGA